rnacentral:rRNA from 1 species
UUGAGUUUGAUCAUGGCUCAGAUUGAACGCUGGCGGCAUGCUUUACACAUGCGAGUCGAACGGCAGCGCGGGCUUCGGCCUGGCGGCGAGUGGCGAACGGGUGAGUAAUAUAUCGGAACGUACCCAGAAGUGGGGGAUAACGUAGCGAAAGUUACGCUAAUACCGCAUACGAUCUACGGAUGAAAGUGGGGGAUCGCAAGACCUCAUGCUUUUGGAGCGGCCGAUAUCUGAUUAGCUAGUUGGUAGGGCAAUGGCCUACCAAGGCGACGAUCAGUAGCUGGUCUGAGAGGACGACCAGCCACACUGGAACUGAGACACGGUCCAGACUCCUACGGGAGGCAGCAGUGGGGAAUUUUGGACAAUGGGGGCAACCCUGAUCCAGCAAUGCCGCGUGAGUGAAGAAGGCCUUCGGGUUGUAAAGCUCUUUUGUCAGGGAAGAAACGGGAGUGGCUAAUAUCCAUUCUUAAUGACGGUACCUGAAGAAUAAGCACCGGCUAACUACGUGCCAGCAGCCGCGGUAAUACGUAGGGUGCAAGCGUUAAUCGGAAUUACUGGGCGUAAAGCGUGCGCAGGCGGUUUUGUAAGUCUGACGUGAAAUCCCCGGGCUUAACCUGGGAAUUGCGUUGGAGACUGCAAGGCUAGAAUCUGGCAGAGGGGGGUAGAAUUCCACGUGUAGCAGUGAAAUGCGUAGAGAUGUGGAGGAACACCGAUGGCGAAGGCAGCCCCCUGGGUCAAGAUUGACGCUCAUGCACGAAAGCGUGGGGAGCAAACAGGAUUAGAUACC